UACGUAGGUGGCAAGCGUUGUUCGGAAUUAUUGGGCGUAAAGCGCGUGUAGGUGGAUUGGUGUGUCAGAUGUGAAAGCCCUGGGCUCAACCCAGGAACUGCACCUGAAACUACCAGUCUUGAGUGGUGGAGAGGGAAGUGGAAUUCCUGGUGUAGAGGUGAAAUUCGUAGAUAUCAGGAGGAACACCAGUGGCGAAGGCGGCUUCCUGGACACUAACUGACGCUGAGACGCGAAAGCGUGGGGAGCAAACAGG
rnacentral:rRNA from 1 species